UUCCGGUUGAUCCUGCCGGACCCCACUGCUAUCGGGAUAGGACUAAGACAUGCUAGUCGAGUGAUUCAGGCAAAACGAGUCACGGCACACAGCUCAGUAACACGUGGCUAAUCUGCCCUUAGGACGAGAACAACCCCGGGAAACUGGGGCUAACUCUCGAUAGGUGAAGAACUCUGGAAUGAGUCUUUACCUAAAUAGUGCAACGUUAUCCUCGUUGCAUCGCCUAAGGAUGAGGCCGCGACCGAUCAGGUUGUUGGCGAGGUAAUGGCUCACCAAGCCUUUUACCGGUGCGGGCCGUGAGAGCGGGAGCCCGGAGAUGGGCACUGAGACAAGGGCCCAGGCCCUACGGGGCGUAGCAGUCGCGAAAACUUUGCAAUAAGCGAAAGCUUGACAGGGCUAUCCCGAGUGCCAUCCGCUGAGGAAGGCUUUUACCCAGUCUAGAACGCUGGGGGAAUAAGGAGAGGGCGAGUCUGGUGUCAGCCGCCGCGGUAAUACCAGCUCUCCGAGUGGUGUGGAUGUUUAUUGGGCCUAAAGCAUCCGUAGCUGGCUAGGUCAGUCCCUUGUUAAAUCCACCGAAUUAAUCGUUGGAUUGCGGGGGAUACUGCUUGGCUAGGGGACGAGAGAGGCAGACGGUAUUUUCGGGGUAGGGGUGAAAUCCUAUAAUCCCGGGAAGACCACCAGUGGCGAAGGCUGUCUGCUAGAACGCGCCCGACGGUGAGGGAUGAAAGCUGGGGGAGCGAACCGGAUUAGAUACCCGGGUAGUCCCAGCUGUAAACGAUGCAGACUAGGUGUUUGGACGGCCACGUGCCGUUCUAGUGCCGCAGGGAAGCUGUUAAGUCUGCCGCCUGGGGAGUACGAUCGCAAGAUUGAAACUUAAAGGAAUUGGCGGGGGAGCACCACAAGGGGUGAAGCUUGCGGUUUAAUUGGAUUCAACGCCGGA
rnacentral:rRNA from 1 species